rnacentral:rRNA from 1 species
GAUGAACGCUGGCGGCGUGCUUAACACAUGCAAGUCGAACGAAGCACUUAAGAUUGAUUCUUCGGAUGACGUCUUUUGUGACUUAGUGGCGGACGGGUGAGUAACGCGUGGGUAACCUGCCUCACACAGGGGGAUAACAGUUAGAAAUGACUGCUAAUACCGCAUAACCCGAUAGGAUCGCAUGAUCCAGACGGAAAAGAUUUAUCGGUGUGAGAUGGACCCGCGUCUGAUUAGCUAGUUGGCGGGGUAACGGCCCACCAAGGCGACGAUCAGUAGCCGGACUGAGAGGUUGAACGGCCACAUUGGGACUGAGACACGGCCCAG